CAGUUUGUCAAGGCACUUAGCAGCUCAGUGAGAUCAUGUCUCUAAAUAAAAUUUUUAAAAAGGGUUGAUGGGCUGGGGAUGUAGCUCAAGCGGUAGCGCGCUCGCCUGGCAUGGGUGCGGCCCGGGUUCGAUCCUCAGCACCACAUACAAAGAUGUUGUGUCCACCUAAAACUGAAAAAUAAAUAUUGAAAUUCUCUAUCUCUUUCUCUUUAAAAAAAAUAAAAAUAAAAAAAGGGUUGAAGAUGUGGCUCAGUGGUCGAGUGCCCCCGAGUUCAAUCCUCAGUACCAAAACAAAAAACAAGUUCUUUAAAGGUAUCAGCAAUGAUUUCUUCAGGCAUUUUUUCCCAUUUUUUAAAAAAUAUUUUUUAAGUUGUAAAUGGGCACAAUACCUUUAUUGUGUUUGCUUAUUUUUAUGUGGUGCUGGGGAUUGAACCCAGUGUCUCAUGUAUGCUAGGCAAGCGCUCUGCCACUGAGCCCCAAACCCAGCCCCUUUCCUGUCUUUUGAGAAACUCCAAUCACAUGGAUAUUAGGCCCUUGGAAAUUUGUCUCAAAAUUUAUUGAUACUCUUUCAUUUUUUCCUACUGAUUUUUCUCCUUGAGUUUUAUUUUGGACAGUUUCUACUGCUCAAGUUCACUAAUAUUUCCUUUUAUAUUGUCUAAUAUGCCAAUAAUCCAUUGAAUGUAUUUUUCAUAUGACACUAUAAUUUUCAUCUCUAAAAGUUUAUAUUCAUUAUUGCUACUUAACAGAUUCAAUUUUUCCUCAAGAUUUUUUUUUUUUGGGGGGGGGUACUGGAGAUUGAAUCUAAGGACGCUUUACCACUGAGCUACAUUCCCAGUUCUUUUUUUAUUUUUAUAUCUUUCUUAAUAUCUUAGUAUAUUGUAGAUAUACAUUAUAGUGGGGUUUGACAUAGUCAUAAAUGCACAUAACAUACUUUUCUGAAUUUAAAUCCCCAAUACUCCCUAUUUUCCUCACAACCUCUUCUCUAAGCCCUGAUCUCCUUCCUCCAGUCUAUUGGUUUUCUUUCUAUUUAUUUAUUUUCUUUGUUUAAUUGGUAUAUUAUAGUUAUAUAUAUAUGGAGAGAGAGAGAGAGAGAGAGAGAGAGAGAGAGAGAGAGAGAGAUAAAAUUUUAUUUUUUAUUUUGAAACAGGACCUUUCUAAGUUGCUGAGA
rnacentral:lncRNA from 1 species